CUACGGGGGGCUGCAGUGGGGAAUAUUGGACAAUGGGGGCAACCCUGAUCCAGCAAUUCCGCGUGGAUGAUGAAGGUUUUCGGAUCGUAAAGUCCUUUUAGUUGGGAAGAUAGUGACGGUACCAACAGAAAAAGCACCGGCUAAUUACGUGCCAGCAGCCGCGGUAAGACGUAAGGUGCAAGCGUUAUCCGGAAUUACUAGGCGUAAAGGGCAUCUAGGCGGCUAUAUAAGUCAGAGGUGAAAAGUCUGGGCUCAACCGAGGCCUUGCCUUUGAUACUGUAUAGCUAGAGUACGGGAGAGGAGGGCGGAACUACAAGUGUAGAGGUGAAAUUCGUAGAUAUUUGUAGGAAUGCCGAUUACGAAGGUAGCUCUCUGGACCGAUACUGACGCUAAAGUGCGAAAGCUAGGGGAGCAAACAGGAUUAGAUACCCCCGUAGUC
rnacentral:rRNA from 1 species